UGUGUCCCUAUGGCACCCCAUGUGUCCCUAUGGAGUCCCCAUGUGUCCCUAUGGCAUCUUCAUGUGUCCCUAUGGAGUCCCCAUGUGUCCCUAUGGAUCCCCAUGUGUCCCUAUGGCAGCCCCAUGUGUCCCUAUGGAGUCCCCAUGUGUCCCUAUGGAGUCCCCAUGUGUCCCUAUGGCAGCCCCAUGUGUCCCUAUGGAUCCCCAUGUGUCCCUAUGGCAUCCCCAUGUGUCCCUAUGGCUCCCCAUGUGUCCCUAUGAGUCCUCAUGUGUCUCUAUGGCGCCCCCAUGUGUCCCUAUGGAGUCCCCAUGUGUCCCUAUGAGUCCCCAUGUGUCCCUAUGGAGUCCCCAUGUGUCCCUAUGAGUCCCCAUGUGUCCCUAUGGCGUCCCCAUGUGUCCCUAUGAGUCCCCAUGUGUCCCUAUGGAGUCCCCAUGUGUCCCUAUGAGUCCCCAUGUGUCCCUAUGGAGUCCCCAUGUGUCCCUAUGUCUCCCCAUGCUGUUGUGCUGCGGGACGUGGUUCAGUGGGAGCUGUUGGUAAGAGGUGAACGGUUGGACUGGGGGAGCUUUGAGGUCUGAUCCAACCUUGGUGAUUCUAUGAUUCUAUGAUUCUAUGAUUCUAUGAUU